ensembl:lncRNA
GUAAGAGAGGGAGAGAAGUAAGAGAGGUGGGAGAGAGAGGAGAGGUAAGAGUGGGAGAGAAGAGAGAGAUAAGAGAGAGGGAAAGCGGUGAGAGGGAGAGAGGUAAGAGAGCCAAUAAAAGUACUGUCACGUAGGAUCUGCUGAUGACUGGCUUAGCGAGACAAUGAAUGUGACUGUGCGGUGGGAGGUGCACACACCCCAUGGAGUGUUGCUCUGCAGGCAGGCACUGGGCUGGACAGAUGAGCAGUGGCUUCACACCGGCAUUUUAGCAUCUGCCCUUGCAGCGCUCUGCCUGCCAUCCCACAUCAACAAUAACAUCAGCACAUCGAUCGAGAACCGUGUUGACCCAGGAUGGGUGUGUGCGAGUGUGAUUCUGAGAAAGUGACAGAGUGUGUGUGUUUCCUGCUCUCCAGUGGCCACAGCAGUGAGGGUCAUUUGUGACAUUUUGUGUCUCUACAAUCCCUCAUAUCGCUAAUGGAGCAUUGCCAUGACUCGUGGAGUGGGGGUUAUUCGGCAACGCAGGGGUGUGUGUGUAUGUGUGUGUGUGUGUGAGAGAGAACCUGCGCAGGGAGGGGUCGAGAGGCUAGGGGUUUUAACAGUAGGGAGAGAGGAGAGAUGGAGAGAAUGUAAGGAUAAACAUUGAGGGGACAGGGCUGUUUAGCCAAGUGUCAGCUGGAGAUGAUGGACGAUGUUGACUUGAGAACUGGCUGCAUGCGAUAGGCCCAAAGAAUGAAGUGAAACAGCCAACAUCCAGGCCCUCGGACAUCUAAAAAUGGAGGCAAAAAUUGUGGAAUAAAAUGCCUUGGGAACCUCUGGAGGAACACAGAUAGUGAAAUGAACCAGAGGAUGUGAGAUGAAUAGCAACCUCUCCUCUGCUCCUCGCAACCUACAAAAGCAGACCACA